rnacentral:rRNA from 1 species
UACGUAGGUGGCGAGCGUUGUCCGGAUUUAUUGGGCGUAAAGCGCGCGCAGGCGGUGCGGUAAGUCUGUCGUGAAAUCUCCCGGCUCAACUGGGAGGGUGCGGUGGAGACUGCCGGACUGGAGGCACUCAGAGGCCGGUGGAAUUCCCGGUGUAGUGGUGAAAUGCGUAGAGAUCAGGAGGAACACCGGUGGCGAAGGCGGGUCUCUGGGCCGUUACUGACGCUGAGGAGCGAAAGCGUGGGGAGCGAACAGG